GUUGUUUCGCGACUUCUUUUUUUUUUUUUUUUUUUUUUUUUUUUUGGUUAUUUGUUUCCCCCCUUCAUGGCUCUCGGCUUGCGGGUCCGAGAAAGUUCGACCAAGAUGUUGGAUUCAGGGAAGGGAAUCCGAAUGCUUGUUAGAUUUAAGCAUCCGGAUUUUUCAAGACGGACACCAAAAAAAAAAAA
rnacentral:ribozyme from 1 species